rnacentral:rRNA from 1 species
GAGCUUGGCGGUGUUUUAGACCUCUCAGGGGAACCUGUCUCAUAAUCGACAAUCCGCGUUAAACCUAACCUUUAAUAGCAAUUCAGCCUGUAUACCGUCGUCGUCAGGUAACUUCUUAAAAUAUAGUAGUUAGCUUGAAAAUUUUAUUAAUUAAAACGUCAGAUCAAGGUGCAGCUAAUGAAAGGGUGAGGAUGGGUUACAAUUACAUAUUUGUAAAUACGGAAAACAUUUGAAAGAAUGUCUUAAAGGAGGACUUGAAAGUAAUUUUGAUUAUAUAAAUAGAAUGAAUAAGGCUCUGAAACGUGCACACAUCGCCCGUCGCUCUCGUUGAAAAAUGAGAUAAGUCGUAACAUAGUAGGGGUAAUGGAAAUUGUUCCUAGGC